AGUGAACGCUGGCGGUAGGCCUAACACAUGCAAGUCGAACGGCAGCACAGGAGAGCUUGCUCUCUGGGUGGCGAGUGGCGGACGGGUGAGGCAUACAUCGGAAUCUGCCCAGUCGUGGGGGAUAACGUAGGGAAACUUACGCUAAUACCGCAUACGACCUUCGGGUGAUAGAGGGGGAUCGCAAAACCUCUCGCGCUUGGAUGAGCCGAUGUCGGAUUAGCUAGUUGGCGGGGUAAUGGCCCACCAAGGCGACGAUCCGUAGCUGGUCUGAGAGGAUGAUCAGCCACACUGGAACUGAGACACGGUCCAGACUCCUACGGGAGGCAGCAGUGGGGAAUAUUGGACAAUGGGAGCAAGCCUGAUCCAGCCAUACCGCGUGGGUGAAGAAGGCCUUCGGGUUGUAAAGCCCUUUUGUUGGGAAAGAAAACAUGCAGGCUAAUACCCUGGGAGGAUGACGGUACCAAAAGAAUAAGCACCGGCUAACUUCGUG
rnacentral:rRNA from 1 species